GGGGGUAGAGGAUGAGGAGCCAGGGUCAGCUCCAUCUGCGUUUGGACAAAACCACAUUGGCAGCCACGUGGAGGAUGAACUGGGGGCAAAACCAGCAAUUAAAAAAAAAGACAGAAAACAGUAAAAACAGAGGCCAGAGCACAGCAUUUGUCAACCCUUGAUGGAGGGAUGCCUGUCGCAGAGCAUGACUCAGCCCUCAGCCGGGAGUGACCGCGAGGAGCUCACGUAUAAAAACAGGGGCGCGGCAGACACGAAAAUCCUUGACCUGUCACUCCAGCAGGUGUCAACUCGACACAACGGAGCUGAGCCGGGAAAAGACACCGUCCCGGGGACCAGAACACGGAGGAAAAGCAGCACCGAAUCAGGUCCAAGAAAACCUCCAGUUCCCGAGGCAGAAUCGGCGCUUACUUCAUUCUCCAACAGCAAAGCAAUAGAAUUAGAAAUGAAACAGAAAACAGCGUCCAGGAAAACGGAAGCAGUCAGAGGCAGGGGGGCACAGGCGGACAGGCGUCCAUGGAAUGGCCUUCGGAGAACGGACUCCCUGAGAUCUGCACUCCUAAGCAGGCAUCACACUCUCCCGUCAGCCGCCCCUGCCGCCCGCAAGGCCCCACGUGGGUGAAGAAAAGUCACCAGCUACUCCACCAGGAAACGCUCCGCCGUGCCAGUGACGUUGGCGAUGUGCCACAGGCGCCCACGAGGUAUGUCCGAAUGCUGGGCGCCCGGGAAACGUAAUAGUUCAACCAGCACAGCAAACCAGGCUGAGAUCCCGUGAAGGACUCAGACAUUGAAAAAAAAGGCGGGGGGGGGGGGGGUAGCUUUUUCAAAGAUAAAAUGGUUUGGUUUCUCAAAUGGCCAUGAUCUACAGUGUAAGUACCGAGUCCCUGAACCAAGGCAGAAUGGGGAAAUAAAUCAAAAAUACAGGGGAGGCCCCAUCCAGUAAGCGAACCGCCUUCCAGCUGCUGGAAAAACACUGCAGUGCCCUGGGGUGAAUAAAUAAUAAAAGGCUAGGGAAACAAUACACCCUGAAAACACCCGUCCCUCCCUCCGUGCUGCUGGCCGGACAGCGCGGGCGGGUUCAGGCUGCCGGGCCACACAGCCAGCGAGCAUGUAUUUACCCAUAACACGGGGUCCUUUCCAGAGAACCGGGGAGGGCAUUCCGAAAACCUGAAGCCGGUCUGGGACCUCAUUAUUUCACCCCAAGCUCCAGUAU